ACUGGGUCCCAGGGCAGAGCGAGGUCUCCACAGGAACCUCAGGCAAACCUGACUGCAGUUCUUGGAGGACAUCCUGAGAAAACAGGGGGGUGAAUGUGGCUUGUUGUGAGGGAAGGACAUUGGAAGCAAAGCUCUUGGGAAUAGUCAGCAGCUGCCUUUCUCUGGAGGGGGCCAUUUUGGGAAAAUCUGGCCCCACCUGUCAGUCAGCCUGAGAAGCCCCUGGGCAAACAACAAUCCAGGUGGGAUCACAGCCCAGCCCCUCAGUAAACAGGCUCCCUAAAGACUCCUCAGGCACACAGCUGCCUCUAAUCCCAUCCAGAGACUAAAGCCCACCCACCAGAGGGAUUAGAAUCAGCUCCACCUACCAAUGGGCAGGCAUCAGCCCCUCCCAUCAGGAAGCCUACAGCAAGCCCCCCAUACUGAAUUCAGCCACAAGGGGGGCAGACAGACACCAGAAGUAAGAGAGCCUACAACCCUAUUAUCUGUAAAAAGCUCACCACACCAAAAACUUACAAAAAUGUAAAGACAGAGAACAAUAACUCAGAUAAGGGAGAAAGGAAAAGCCCCAGAAAAACAGCUAAGUGAUCAGGAGAUUCUCAGCCUCCAGGAAAAAGACUUUAGACUGUUGGUGCUGAAGAUGACACAAGACAUUGGAAAUAAACUGGAGGCAAAGAUGGAUAACUUACAGGAAACACCGAGCAAAGAGAUACAAGAUAUAAAACUUAAACAAGAAGAGAUGCAAAAUACAAUAACUGAAAUAAAAAACUCACUAGAAGCAGCUAUCAGCAGAAUACAGGAGGCAGAAGAACGAAUAAGCAAGGUGGAGGACAGAUUAGAAGAAAUUAGGGAUGCAGAACAGAAAAGAGAAAAAAGAUUGAAAACAAAUGAAGAGAGGCUCAGGGAACUCUGGGACAAUGUUAAACGUACCAACAUCCGUAUUAUGGGGUGCUAGAAGGAGAAGAGAGAGAGAAGGGGACAGAAAAAAUAUUCCAAGAGAUAAUAGCCAAAAACUUCCCUCACAUGGGAAAGGAACCACUCACUCAAAUCCAGGAGGCACAACGAGUAC
rnacentral:lncRNA from 1 species